GACGAACACUGGCGGCGUGCUUAACACAUGCAAGUCGAACGGAAAGGCCCUGCUUUUGUGGGGUGCUCGUGUGGCGAACGGGUGAGUAACACGUGAGUAACCUGCCCUUGACUUUGGGAUAACUUCAGGAAACUGGGGCUAAUACCGGAUAGGAGCUCCUGCUGCAUGGUGGUGGUUGGAAAGUUUCGGCGGUUGGGGAUGGUCUCGCGGCUUAUCAGCUUGUUGGUGGGGUAGUGGCUUACCAAGGCUUUGACGGGUAGCCGGCCUGAGAGGGUGACCGGCCACAUUGGGACUGAGAGACGGCCCAGACGCCUACGGUAGGCAACAGGGGGGAAUAUUGCACAAUGGGCGGAAGCCUGAUGCAGAAACGCCGCGUGCGGGAUGACCGCCUUCGGGUUGUAAACCUCUUUCGCCUGUGACGAAGCGUGAGUGACGGUAAUUGGUAAAGAAGCACCGGCUAACUACGUG
rnacentral:rRNA from 1 species